rnacentral:lncRNA from 1 species
AGUUGAGGCCUCAGGAGAAGAGUGAAGAAAUAAGGUCCCCAGAAUUGACAUAAUCUUUUCUUCCUCUCCAGGUCUUCUCUAUAUUAGGAAGGAAGCCAGAGCAGAUCACCUUCCUGCAAGUCUGCCAUGUUCUUCAAUCCAUGGGAUGCAGUCAGAUAUGUGCCACAGAGUCAAGAUGCUGAAGUUUUGGUCCAUGUCUUCACAUAUCUGUACCAUGGACUGGCUAGUCCGGGGCCCUGUGUGCAGCUCUGCCUGUGCUGGAAGUGACAUGUAACCAUUCUUCAGCAGGGAGACUGAGAUACUCAUGGGAUGAUGCAGCCUUUCGAGUCACGUUUUAUCUUCCAGCAAGUCUGGGUCUGAAGAAUUAUGGCUUGACAUGACUGGCCACUCAUGGGUGUUUCCCUGCUGCAGAAAGAUUGUCUGCUGGAGAAACCA